rnacentral:rRNA from 1 species
UACAGAGGUGCCAAGCGUUAGGCGGAAUCACUGGGCUUAAAGCGCGUGUAGGUGGACGGGUAAGUAUCUUGUGAAAUCCCACGGCUCAACCGUGGAACUGCCUGGAUAUACUGCUUGUCUUGAGGCACUUAGGGGCAGCUGGAACAAAUGGUGGAGCGGUGAAAUGCGUAGAUAUCAUUUGGAACGCCAAAGGCGAAAGCAGGCUGCUGGGAGUGGAUCUGACACUGAGACGCGAAAGCCAGGGGAGCAAACGGGAGUUAGAA